rnacentral:rRNA from 1 species
GAUGAACGCUGGCGGCGUGCCUAAUACAUGCAAGUCGAGCGAACAGACGAGGAGCUUGCUCCUCUGACGUUAGCGGCGGACGGGUGAGUAACACGUGGAUAACCUACCUAUAAGACUGGGAUAACUUCGGGAAACCGGAGCUAAUACCGGAUAAUAUAUUGAACCGCAUGGUUCAAUAGUGAAAGACGGUUUUGCUGUCACUUAUAGAUGGAUCCGCGCCGCAUUAGCUAGUUGGUAAGGUAACGGCUUACCAAGGCGACGAUGCGUAGCCGACCUGAGAGGGUGAUCGGCCACACUGGAACUGAGACACGGUCCAGACUCCUACGGGAGGCAGCAGUAGGGAAUCUUCCGCAAUGGGCGAAAGCCUGACGGAGCAACGCCGCGUGAGUGAUGAAGGUCUUCGGAUCGUAAAACUCUGUUAUUAGGGAAGAACAAAGGUGUAAGUAACUAUGCACGUCUUGACGGUACCUAAUCAGAAAGCCACGGCUAACUACGUG